GACGAACUCUGGCGGCGUGCUUAACGCAUGCAAGUCGAACGGAAAGGCCCUGCUUUUGUGGGGUGCUCGAGUGGCGAACGGGUGAGUAACACGUGAGUAACCUGCCCUUGACUUUGGGAUAACUUCAGGAAACUGGGGCUAAUACCGGAUAGGAGCUCCUGCUGCAUGGUGGGGGUUGGAAAGUUUCGGCGGUUGGGGAUGGACUCGCGGCUUAUCAGCUUGUUGGUGGGGUAGUGGCUUACCAAGGCUUUGACGGGUAGCCGGCCUGAGAGGGUGACCGGCCACAUUGGGACUGAGAUACGGCCCAGACUCCUACGGGAGGCAGCAGUGGGGAAUAUUGCACAAUGGGCGGAAGCCUGAUGCAGCAACGCCGCGUGCGGGAUGACGGCCUUCGGGUUGUAAACCGCUUUCGCCUGUGACGAAGCGUGAGUGACGGUAAUGGGUAAAGAAGCACCGGCUAACUACGUG
rnacentral:rRNA from 1 species